rnacentral:lncRNA from 1 species
AUGUGCUUUGAGCAGAGACAACAAUGUUACGGAGACCGGGUUGGCUCAAGUGACAAGGACUUCUCCAGAUCACCUUGCAAAAUCAGAGCUGAAACAGUGAUCACCCAGACACCAGCCCACCCAGUAGCUCGAAAACUCCCCAGAUCAAGAACUUUGCGUCAGAGUACGGUGUUUGUGGCCCACAGAUCUGAUUUCAAACAGGCUGUCACAUGGUUGUGCCCCUGUGAGGACGACACGCAUCCUCUCCGUAGAGCUGAGAUAGUAAAGGCAACAAGGAACGACUGUGGAGACCAUCAGUAUUAGGUGGAACCACAGUGCCCAGGGACAUCAAGGAUCCAUGCAUAGCUUUGUGUGACACCGCCUGGAUUUGAACCCUGAUGCCCUCACUCUACAGCAGUGCGAUUGGAUUUCUUCACACUUUAGUUUUCUUAUUGGCACUAUAUGGAUACUAACACCAACUGUCAAAGACAUGAGGAGAAACUGAGGCAGUGCAUGUACAAUGCUUAACACAGAGUCUGGCGCCUAAUAAACAUCAGUUAUCAUUAUUUCCUAACGUCGUGUGAUUUCUUUAUGUGUUCUAUGGUGUACUGGGGGCACCAGGCGAGCUAGU